rnacentral:rRNA from 1 species
UACGUAGGUGGCAAGCGUUGUCCGGAAUUAUUGGGCGUAAAGCGCGCGCAGGCGGUCCUUUAAGUCUGAUGUGAAAGCCCACGGCUCAACCGUGGAGGGUCAUUGGAAACUGGGGGGACUUGAGUGCAGAAGAGGAAAAUGGAAUUCCACGUGUAGCGGUGAAAUGCGUAGAGAUGUGGAGGAACACCAGUGGCGAAGGCGACUUUCUGGUCUGUAACUGACGCUGAGGCGCGAAAGCGUGGGGAGCAAACAGG